rnacentral:lncRNA from 10 species
GGGAAGAAGAAAAGUGGCUUGAAGGAAGUAAGUCCCUUCAGAUGAGGGAGGGAGAAGCUCGAUCCAUAUGCAGACUUGCGCAGUCCUUCAGUCCUGGGGAUGUUGGAGGAGAGGCAGGUCUUGCCUUGUAUUUGAGAGUUACGAUCCCAGGCAGAGGCCCUACUUCUACCUUCUUGCAGGUGGGGCUGGGGGCAAAUACUUAGAGGAAGAACAAACACCCUUUGUAAGCAUGCGAAACGUUUCUGGAGUGGAGAGAUGAUGAGGCAGGAUAUUUGGAGUCAACAGCCAAUGUUUUUAAAAAUCCUCUCUCCCUGAGCCUUUUCUCAUUCAAAUUGCUGGCACCUUUGGACUCCUUGCUUCUAGGAGAGAAUGUCCUGGAGGAAACCAGAGACUCCCUGUGACCUGGAGCUUCACAAGCUUAGCCCCUUCCAGGAGCCAUGGAGGAGCUGGGGCAUGGGGAAAGUCUUGUGGGAUACUAGGAAGGAACCUGCCUGACUUGCUGUCAGUGUUUAGAGAAUUGAAGGAGCUGAUGAUUGUGGAACCUGCUGGACAUUUUCUGAAGCCAGGGACUUCUGGGAUCUUGCUGGCUUCCACGAAGCUCGGGGAUUUCCAUGCAGGAGUAGAAGAUGAUGGGCAUGUGGCUGCAUGGUGCCUCAGAGCUCAGGCUCAGGAGCCAGACAUGCCUGCAUUGAAGUCAUUUCUGACCCUCACUGUGGUCUUGGGUGAGGUUUCUUCUUGUUUUGUUACUGAUGCAGAUGUGGAGGACCCUGGGUGGUGACUGGUAUUGGAAGAUGACAGAAUGAAGGGUAAGGCUUUUUGUUAAUGUCCACCCUGAAAUUAUUACACAAUGCACCACGGUCCUUGCUGGUCCUAAGCAGUCAACUUGAUCUUAUAGUGAUUCCCCAGAAAGUUCUGGAAGGCAAGUGUCUUUGAGAGGUUAUGAGCGUGGGCUUGAGGCAGACCAGUGAGAUGCGAGUCCCAGCUCUAUCCUUUACUAGCUGGGUGACCUUGGACCAGUUGUUGAGCUUCUCAGAGCUUCAUCUUCCUCAUAUGUAAAAU